AGGGUUUGAUUAUGGCUCAGGACGAACGCUGGCGGCGCGCCUAACACAUGCAAGUCGAACGGAGUUGUGUUGAAAGCUUGCUGGAAAUACAACUUAGUGGCGGACGGGUGAGUAACACGUGAGUAACCUGCCUUUCAGAGUGGAAUAACGUUUGGAAACGAACGCUAAUACCGCAUAACAUGAGAGAACGGCAUCGUUCUUUCAUCAAAGAUUUUAUCGCUGAGAGAUGGGCUCGCGGCCGAUUAGGUAGUUGGUGAGAUAACAGCCCACCAAGCCGACGAUCGGUAGCCGGACUGAGAGGUUGAACGGCCACAUUGGGACUGAGACACGGCCCAG
rnacentral:rRNA from 1 species